GCGAGAGAGAGAGAGAGAGAGAGAGAGAGAGUUCUGGAGAUUCUUUGCUAACGAUCUUGGUGGCCUUUCGUAAUCUUCUCUUCACCAACUAAAUAGAUUGAAAGAAUCAUAGUCUUGCUUGACAUUCUUGCCGAUCGACCCAUUUCUGGAGAUUCUUUGUUGACGAUCUUGGUGGCCUUUGAUUGUGUCGGCCUACCAAUUGACUUUAUCAUCAAGAAAUAAUAAUCCCUAUCCACAACCACAAGACAUUCUUUCUCCUCAUCUAGAUACUACGAAGCGAGGCAACCUUUUCUUCUUGAUCGCAAUGCAGCGAUGGCUGAUGCAUCAGUUUUCGUUUUUGAGGAGCGAUAAAAAAGAUGGUUUGCGGUUGUCAAGCUAGAUGAGGAUGAAAAUAGAACCACAUGAGGUUACACUCCCGAUGGAAUAAAAUGUGCCUCUUAAACUGCUAUGAUGUAAAUUAGAACUUGUCCAAGAAUGGGAAAUGCGUCAACCCGCCAGUUAGUGUAAGGGUGUUAUGUUUUUUGUAACCUAUAAAUACUAUUUGUCUUUCAAUUUCUUCCAAUUCAGAUGAAUUUUGAUAAGUAUUGCUGUUGCCUACACAGCAGUAUGAUAGUUUUGAGGUUUGUCAACAUUUAUUGAUCUAU